rnacentral:tRNA from 1 species
GAAAGAAGUAGCUUAACACAAAGCAUAACACUGAAAAUGUUAAGAUAGUCUCAUAAGCUCUCAUUCACCA